rnacentral:rRNA from 1 species
AUUGAACGCUGGCGGCAGGCCUAACACAUGCAAGUCGAACGAGUGGCGGACGGGUGAGUAAUGUCUGGGAAACUGCCUGAUGGAGGGGGAUAACUACUGGAAACGGUAGCUAAUACCGCAUACCAUCGGAUGUGCCCAGAUGGGAUUAGAUAGGAGGUGGGGUAAAGGCUCACCUAGGCGACGAUCCCUAGCUGGUCUGAGAGGAUGACCAGCAACACUGGAACUGAGACACGGUCCAGACUCCUCCGAGAGGCAGCAGUGGGGAAUAUUGGACAAUGGGCGCAAGCCGGAUGCAGCCAUGCCGCGUGUAUGAAGGAGGCCUUCGGGUUGUAAAGAACUUUCAGCGGGGAGGCGUUACCCGCAGAAGAAGCACCGGCUAACUCCGUGCCAGCAGCCGUGGUAAUUC